GUGCUGGUGCUGCUGCGUAUAACAGCGAGGCAGGUCGUGUGGGUUAGUCCAGUGUGGGUGGGAAGGACGUGGACACUGUGUCGUGCAUCAGGGGUCAACGACUUCACUCUUCCACAGCAAAAGUAUUCAAGGAAUCUACUGAUCAUUGGUUAAGAUGACCCCGUGUGGGAGGAGCCUGGUGUGGAUGACCCCGUGUGGGAGGGGCCUGGUGUGGAUGACCCCGUGUGGGAGGGGCCUGGUGUGGCCGCCUCCACUGCUGCUGCUGCUCCUGGUGGCCCUCUGCUCCACUCCAGGUCUUUCAGGCAGUAUGAGGCGAGGGGAGCCGAUGGACAGUUCCUACUCCUCUUUGCUCCAGUACCUCACCCUCUUGAUGUCACCUGGGAGUAGCGAGACUUUUUCAGGAACCAGCAUCGCGGCAUCAGAUGACAGCAUCACUCCGUCAGGAACCAGCAUCGCGCCGUCCGAGACCAGCACUUGCCCAUGGAUGCUGGACCUCGUGUGCUGGAUAUUGUCCUCACGAAACACUUUCCAGUACUCGAGACAGCUCGACCUUCCAUUGCGACCCUGACAUUAACCCUGCAGGAGCUGCUGCAGGAGUUGCUGCAGUAGCUGCUGCAGCUGCAGGAGAUACGAGAGUAUAUUGUGAUAAAGUUAUACGAUGCUUUACCUCGGAGAUUCCACAGACCAUUGAAUGUGACUUCAAAAUGGAUUUUGGAAAAAAACAGAUCCUAUCCUUCCCCUCUGUGGAUAGAAUCAAUUUCCCCAGGUGCUGUGUGACUCCUGUGGGUUUAGCGCACCCUCUUCAGCAGUGUAAAAAAUGUAAUUUUGAAAAAAAAAAUUCCCUCUAUAAAAAAUAAAUCUUGGCAAAUAUUGUAAAUUAUGCCAAGAAUAACAACAACAAGAAGUGAAAGAAAAAAUGAAAUUAAUACAUAAGAUCAUGUAAUAAAAUUUAUGUGAAGUCCUGUAACGUACAAAAUUUUGGACCUGGAAGCUGUUGUUGACGGAAGAUAAAAGUGUUUAAUAGACUCGUUAAACAAACACUAGGAUAUAUUUCUUAGAAAACGGUGGGGUCCUGGAACCUUGAUCACUUCUAACUUACAGAGGUUAAAAAGGACUGUAUUUACAGGCGGAGAGUGAGGUGUGAGUGACGCAUGGUGACCUGAGUGAGGUGUGAGGGACGCAUGGUGACCUGAGUGAGGUGUGAGUGACGCAUGGUGACCUGAGUGAGGUGUGAGUGACGCAUGGUGACCUGAGUGAGGUGUGAGUGACGCAUGGUGACCUGAGUGAGGUGUGAGUGACGCAUGGUGACCUGAGUGAGGUGUGAGGGACGCAUGGUGACCUGAGUGAGGUGUGAGGGACGCAUGGUGACCUGAGUGAGGUGUGGGUGACGCAUGGUGACCUGAAGAAUGACAUGCUGGGAUGACGGGAUGACAAGAACAUAAGAAAGAAGGAACACUAUAGCAGGCCUACUGGCCCAUGCGAGGCAGGUCCAAUUCUCCCACCGGCUUAAGCCGGUGGGAGAAUUGUGACCAGACCUAGUCAGGUCUGGUCACAUUCACUUAAGGAAUUCAGUUCAAUUCAAUUCAGUUCAAGUUUAUUCUCUAUAAGGGUUCAAUGUGGAGUUUACAGGAUUUGGAUAUUGUGUGGUUUAUAUGUUAUAAAAUACUAAUUACAGAGGGGGCCACUAGGACAUCUAGCAUGGCUAGGCAUUUCGAGCAGACUUAGAUUAAUUCUUAACAUUAAAUCCUUACAGAUUAUGGUAUUAAGGCUAAGUGACUACAUAAUUUGUGAGUUUAGCAAUGUGAAUGUUUUUGUUUUAGCACAAUACAAAGUGUCUAUAUUGGAGUAUCAUAGACAAACUUUUGACUAGUUAGGAUUCAUAAUUUUAAGAUUAAGAUUAGUAUUUGUGUUUAUAAUCAGUGGGUGAGUAUAAUUGUGAACCACCAGGUGGUUAUCAUUAGUUAGUUGUCGUGGUGGAUCAGGGAGAUAAGAUGUUUUCUAACUGUAGUUUUGAAAGUGAUGAAUGUGUCUGCAGUUCUAGAGUUUUCAGGUAGGGUGUUCCAGAUUUUAGGUCCUUUGAAAUACAAUGAAAUUUUGUAAAGGUUUAGUCGGACACGAGGAAUGUCAUAGAGAUGUUUGUGUCUGGUGUUAUGCCUGUGGGUUCUGUCACAACUAUCAAGAAAGCGUUUUAAGUCAAGGUUAAUAUUGGAAUUUAAGGUCCUGUAGAUAGAUUGCACAGUAGUAAGUGUGGAUGUUCUGAACAGGGAGUAAGUUUACAUAAGAACAUAAGAACAUAAAGGAGGAACACUGCAGGAGGCCCGUUGGCCCAUACUAGGCAGGUCCUUUACAAUUCAUCCCACUAACAAAACAUUUGCCCAACCCAAUUUUCAAUGCCUCCCAAGAAAUAAGCUCUGAUGUGAAAGUCCCACUCAAAUCCAACCCCUCCCACUCAUGUACUUAUCCAACCUAAAUUUGAAACUACCCAAAGUCCCAACCUCAAUAACCCAACUAGGUAGACUGUUCCACUCAUCAACUACCCUAUUUCUAAACCAAUACUUUCCUAUGUCCUUUCUAAAUCUAAACUUAUCUAAUUUAAAUCCAUUACUGCGGGUUCUCUCUUGGAGAGACAUCCUCAAGACCUUGUUAAUAUCCCCUUUAUUAAUACCUAUCUUCCACUUAUACACUUCGAUCAUGUCUCCCCUCAUUCUUCGUCUAACAAGUGAAUGUAACUUAAGAGUCUUCAAUCUUUCUUCAUAAGGAAGAUUUCUAAUGCUAUGUAUUAAUUUAGUCAUCCUACGCUGAAUGUUUUCUAACGAAUUUAUGUCCAUUCUGUAAUAUGGAGACCAGAACUGAGCUGCAUAAUCUAGGUGAGGCCUUACUAAUGAUGUAUAAAGCUGCAGUAUGACCUCUGGACUUCUGUUGCUUACACUUCUUGAUAUAAAUCCCAGUAAUCUAUUUGCCUUAUUACGUACGCUUAGGCAUUGCUGUCUUGGUUUAAGGUUGCUGCUCACCAUAACCCCCAAGUCCUUUUCGCAAUCUGUAUGGCUAAGUUCUACAUCAUUUAACUUAUAAGUACUAGGGUUAUGGGCACUCCCAAGCUUCAGAACCUUGCAUUUAUCUACAUUGAACUGCAUCUGCCACUUUUCUGACCAAGAAUAGAGUGUUUAAAUCCUCCUGAAGUUCCAUAACAUCUACGUUUGAAUCAAUUAUCCUACCUAUCUUUGUGUCAUCGGCGAAUUUGCUCAUAUCACUAGUAAUUCCCUCAAGAUCAUUGAUAUAUAUUAUAAACAACAACGGGCCCAAGACUGAUCCCUGUGGAACGCCACUUGUUACAGAUCCCCACUCGGAUUUAACCCCAUUUAUGGACACUCUCUGCUUCCUGUCUGUGAGCCACGACUCGAUCCACGAGAGCACUUUUCCCCCAAUGCCAUGAGCUGCCACUUUCUUUAACAGUCUAUGGUGCGGAACUCUAUCAAAAGCCUUACUAAAAUCUAAGUAAAUAAUAUCAAAUUCUUUAUCGUGGUCAACAGCCUCAAAAGCUUUACUGAAGAAAGUUAAUAAAUUAGUUAGACAAGACCGGCCUCUUGUGAAUCCAUGCUGAGUAUCAUUAAUCAAGAGUGGGGGGGAGGGGGGUGUUGCCAGGGAUGGGAUUUAGUGAUUCUUCUUACUGCGGAAAAGACCCGGGCCGGCAAAUGUACCGGAGAAUCUUACAAUAGUAAGUCAGAAGUGAUCAAGGUCCCAGCAGCCAAGUCUUCUAAGAAGUAUAUCUUAGUGUUUGUUUACGUGUCUUUCUAAACCAAUUUACCGGUACCUAUUACCAAGGUUGAUACUAGAAAAUAAAAAUAAUGAAGCAGCGUGUGAUAACCCUUGUGUUGUUGUGACACAGACACAGACACAGACACAGAUGGCAUCGAACUUUUGGUACAGAAAAGCCUAAGAAACAGUAAAUGAACUACAGGCGUAAUUUGUACCACACUUUCUUAGUCAGGGGAAAUUUAAUACUAAGGUGAGCAAUUAAAUGUAUGGAAGAUCGCCCCUGGUGGGCGAAACGUCUCU